GGGGAUUUAGCUCAGUGGUAGAGCGCUUGCCUAGCAAGCCCAAGGCCCUGGCAAGGCCUUGGGUUCAGUUCCCA
rnacentral:tRNA from 1 species